rnacentral:rRNA from 1 species
GACGAACGCUGGCGGCGUGCUUAACACAUGCAAGUCGAACGGAAAGGCCCUGCUUUUGUGGGUUGCUCGAGUGGCGAACGGGUGAGUAACACGUGAGUAACCUGCCCUUGACUUUGGGAUAUCUUCAGGAAACUGGGGCUCAUACCGGGUAGGAGCUCCUGCUGCAUGGGGGGGGUUGGAAAGUUUCGGCGGUUGGGUAUGGACUCGCGGCUUAUCCGCUUGUUGGUGGGGUAGUGGAUUACCAAGGCUUUGACGGGUAGCCGGCCUGAGAGGGGGACCGGCCACAUGGGGCCUGAGAGAGGCCCCAGACUCCUACGGGAGGCAGCGGUGGGGAAUAUGGCACAAUGGGCGGAAGCCUGAGGCAGCAACGCCGGGUGCGGGAUAACGGCCUUCGGGUUGUAAACCGCUUUCGCCUGUGACGAGGCGUGAGUGACGGUAAUGGGUAAAGAAGCACCGGCUAACUACGUG